GACGAACGCUGGCGGCGUGCCUAAUACAUGCAAGUCGAACGAAGCUGUUUUAACUGGUGCUUGCACCGACUUAAACAACUGAGUGGCGAACGGGUGAGUAACACGUGGGUAACCUGCCCCAAAGCGGGGGAUAACAUUUGGAAACAGAUGCUAAUACCGCAUAACCACAGAAACCACAUGGUUUCUGUGUCAAAGAUGGUUUCGGCUAUCACUUUGGGAUGGACCCGCGGCGUAUUAGCUAGUUGGUAAGGUAAUGGCUUACCAAGGCAAUGAGCAGUAGCCGAACUGGGAGGUUGAACGGCGACAUUGGGACUGAGACACGGCACAACCUCCUUCGGGGGGCAGCAGUAGGGAAUCUUCCACAAUGGACGAAAGUCUGAUGGAGCAACGCCGCGUGAGUGAAGAAGGUUUUCGGAUCGUAAAACUCUGUUGUCAGAGAAGAACGUGUGCGAGAGUAACUGUUCGUGCAGUGACGGUAUCUGGCCAGAAAGCCACGGCUAACUACGUGCCAGCAGCCGCCGUAA
rnacentral:rRNA from 1 species